rnacentral:rRNA from 1 species
AAAUUGAAGAGUUUGAUCAUGGCUCAGAUUGAACGCUGGCGGCAGGCCUAACACAUGCAAGUCGAACGGUAACAGGAAGCAGCUUGCUGCUUUGCUGACGAGUGGCGGACGGGUGAGUAAUGUCUGGGAAACUGCCUGAUGGAGGGGGAUAACUACUGGAAACGGUAGCUAAUACCGCAUAACGUCGCAAGACCAAAGAGGGGGACCUUCGGGCCUCUUGCCAUCGGAUGUGCCCAGAUGGGAUUAGCUAGUAGGUGGGGUAACGGCUCACCUAGGCGACGAUCCCUAGCUGGUCUGAGAGGAUGACCAGCCACACUGGAACUGAGACACGGUCCAGACUCCUACGGGAGGCAGCAGUGGGGAAUAUUGCACAAUGGGCGCAAGCCUGAUGCAGCCAUGCCGCGUGUAUGAAGAAGGCCUUCGGGUUGUAAAGUACUUUCAGCGGGGAGGAAGGG